rnacentral:rRNA from 1 species
GACGAACGCUGGCGGCGUGCCUAAUACAUGCAAGUAGAACGCUGAAGGAGGAGCUUGCUCUUCUGGAUGAGUUGCGAACGGGUGAGUAACGCGUAGGUAACCUGCCUGGUAGCGGGGGAUAACUAUUGGAAACGAUAGCUAAUACCGCAUAAGAGUAGAUGUUGCAUGACAUUUACUUAAAAGGUGCAAUUGCAUCACUACCAGAUGGACCUGCGUUGUAUUAGCUAGUUGGUGGGGUAACGGCUUACCAAGGCGACGAUACAUAGCCGACCUGAGAGGGUGAUCGGCCACACUGGGACUGGGACACGGCCCAGACUCCUACGGGAGGCAGCAGUAGGGAAUCUUCGGCAAUGGACGGAAGUCUGACCGAGCAACGCCGCGUGAGUGAAGAAGGUUUUCGGAUCGUAAAGCUCUGUUGUAAGAGAAGAACGAGUGUGAGAGUGGAAAGUUCACACUGUGACGGUAUCUGACCAGAAAGGGACGGCUAACUACGUG